AGGCAACGCCUGCCCAGUGAACAAUUAAACGGCCGCGGUACCCUAACCGUGCAAAGGUAGCGUAAUCAUUUGUCUAUUAAUUGUAGACCUGUAUGAAAGGCAUAAUGAGGGCCUAACUGUCUCUUAUAAUAAAUCAAUUAAACUGAUCUUCUAGUACAAAAGCUAGAAUACUAACAUAAGACCAGAAGACCCUGUGAAGCUUUAACAAAACUAUUAAACCUUAUAAUAGCUACUUUAGGUUGGGGCGACCUUGGAAAAAAAAGAAACUUCCAAACNNAUGACUAAAACUCACANUAANNGGCCUACAAGCCNCACAANCGACCCAGCAUAGCUGAUCAUUGAACCAAGUUACUCCAGGGAUAACAGCGCUAUCUUCUUCAAGAGCCCAUAUCAAAAAGAAGGUUUACGACCUCGAUGUUGGAUCAGGACAUCCUAAUGGUGCAAAAGCUAUUAAU
rnacentral:rRNA from 1 species